CGGCUGCCCCAGCGCAUGGCCAUCAUGGCCUUCCUCGGCAACUUCACCGAAAACCUCCAGAUGCUGACACCGCAGCUCAAUGCCAUCAUUGCGGCCUCGGCUUCCGUCAAGUCCUCCCAGAAGCUGAAGCACAUGUUGGAGAUCAUCUUGGCGCUGGGCAACUACAUGAACAG